rnacentral:rRNA from 1 species
UACGUAGGGCGCAAGCGUUGUCCGGAAUUAUUGGGCGUAAAGAGCUCGUAGGCGGCUUGUCACGUCGGAUGUGAAAGCCCGAGGCUUAACCUCGGGUCUGCAUUCGAUACGGGGCUAGCUAGAGUGCGGUAGGGGAGAUUGGAAUUCCUGGUGUAGCGGUGGAAUGCGCAGAUAUCAGGAGGAACACCAAUGGCGAAGGCAGAUCUCUGGGCCGUAACUGACGCUGAGGAGCGAAAAGCAUGGGGGAGCGAACAGG